UACGGAGGUCCCAAGCGUUGUUCGGAAUUACUGGGCGUAAAGGGAGCGCAGGCGGACAGGUCAGUCUAAAGUGGAAUCCCGGGGCUCAACCUCGGAACUGCUUCGGAUACUGCCUGUCUUGAGUUCGUGAGAGGAAAGCGGAAUUCAGGGUGUAGCGGUGAAAUGCUUAGAUAUCCUGAGGAACACCGAUGGCGAAAGCAGCUUUCUGGCGCGAUACUGACGCUGAGGCUCGAAAGCGUGGGGAGCGAACGGG
rnacentral:rRNA from 1 species